GACGAACGCUGGCGGCGUGCUUAACACAUGCAAGUCGAACGGAAAGGCCCUGCUUUUGUGGGGUGCUCGAGUGGCGAACGGGUGAGUAACACGUGAGUAACCUGCCCUUGACUUUGGGAUAACUUCAGGAAACUGGGGCUAAUACCGGAUAGGAGCUCCUGCUGCAUGGUGGGGGUUGGAAAGUUUCGGCGGUUGGGGAUGGACUCGCGGUUUAUCAGCUUGUUGGUGGGGUAGUGGCUUACCAAGGCUUUGACGGGUAGCCGGCCUGAGAGGGUGACCGGCCACAUUGGGACUGAGAUACGGCCCAGAAUCCUACGGGAGGCAGCAGUGGGGAAUAUUGCACAAUGGGCGGAAGCCUGAUGCAGCAACGCCGCGUGCGGGAUGACGGCCUUCGGGUUGUAAACCGCUUUCGCCUGUGACGAAGCGUGAGUGACGGUAAUGGGUAAAGAAGCACCGGCUAACUACGUG
rnacentral:rRNA from 1 species